rnacentral:rRNA from 1 species
AGUGAACGCUGGCGGUAGGCCUAACACAUGCAAGUCGAACGGCAGCACAGUAAGAGCUUGCUCUUACGGGUGGCGAGUGGCGGACGGGUGAGGAAUACAUCGGAAUCUACUUUUUCGUGGGGGAUAACGUAGGGAAACUUACGCUAAUACCGCAUGCGACCUACGGGUGAAAGCAGGGGAUCUUCGGACCUUGCGCGAUUGAAUGAGCCGAUGUCGGAUUAGCUAGUUGGCGGGGUAAAGGCCCACCAAGGCGACGAUCCGUAGCUGGUCUGAGAGGAUGAUCAGGCACACUGGAACUGAGACACGGUCCAGACUCCUAAGGGAGGCAGCAGUGGGGAAUAUUGGAAAAUGGGCGCAAGCCUGAUCCAGCCAUACCGGGUGGGUGAAGAAGGCCUUCGGGUUGUAAAGCCCUUUUGUUGGGAAAGAAAAGCAGCAGGUUAAUACCCCGCUGUUCUGACGGUACCCAAAGAAUAAGCACCGGCUAACUUCGUG